rnacentral:rRNA from 1 species
GUCCACGCGGUAAACGAUGAGUACUAGGUGUCGCGGGUAUUGACCCCUGCGGUGCCGCAGCUAACGCAUUAAGUACUCCGCCUGGGAAGUACGGCCGCAAGGCUAAAACUCAAAGGAAUUGACGGGGGCCCCGCACAAGCGGUGGAGCAUGUGGUUUAAUUCGACGCAACGCGCAGAACCUUACCUGGGCUUGACAUCCGCGGAACCUUGUGGAACACAGGGUGCCUUCGGAGCCGCGAGACAGGUGCUGCAUGGCUGUCGU